rnacentral:misc_RNA from 1 species
GAUGAAGAACGUAGCGAAAUGCGAUAAGUAAUGUGAAUUGCAGAAUUCCGUGAAUCAUCGAAUCUUUGAACGCACAUUGCGCCCCCUGGUAUUCCGGGGGGCAUGCCUGUUCGAGCGUCAUUUCACCACUCAAGCCUCGCUUGGUAUUGGGCAACGCGGUCCGCCGCGUGCCUCAAAUCGACCGGCUGGGUCUUCUGUCCCCUAAGCGUUGUGGAAACUUUCGCUAAAGGGUGUUCGGGAGGCUACGCCGUAAAACAACCCCAUUUCUAAGGUUGACCUCGGAUCAGGUAGGGAUACCCGCUGAACUUAAGCAUAUCAAUAAGCGGAGGA